AACCUCCGCUGGAUCCUCACCUUCAUCCUGCUCUUCAUCAUCGUCUGUGAAAUAGCCGAGGGCAUCGUGUCCGACGGGUUUAAUCAGUCGGUCCACUUGCACCUCUAUAUGCCAUCAUGUUUGGCCUUCAUGGCUGCCAUUACAUCAAUCGUCUUCUACCACAACAUAGAGACCUCCAACUUCCCCAAACUACUGAUGACUUUGUUCAUUUACUGGGUUCUGGCGUUUGUCUCUAAAACAAUCAAGUUUUUCAAGUACACGGAGCAUGGCAUCGGCCUGAGACAGCUGC